GGGAGCCCACAGGUGGCUGUGUUGCUUCCGGGAUCUCCUGACGCCGACUCUGGUGUCCCCGGCGAAUGGCUCUGCUGGGAAGGAUUCAGACCAAAGGGAUUCAGUGGCCUUUGAGGAAAUGGUGGUGGACUUCUCCCAGGAGGUGUGGGCACCCCUGGAGCCUGCUAAGAAAAUUCUGUACAGAGACGUGAUGCUAGAGAACUACAGGAACCUGGCCUCUGCCACGCUCAUCUCUUCAUUGAUUCAAAGUUUCAACUGAAUACCCAAAAGACCACUGCAAAGCAGAAAAAAGUUUGGAAAAAACAUCCACUGUCAGGAAUAUGGCACUAAAUCCAGCUGGAGAGAAAUCCCAUGAAUACAUCUGUGUGGAAGAGCCAUCAGAAGGAAUUCUAACCUUGUUUGGCCAAAGAGAAGUUACACAGGAGAGAAAUGAAAUGAAUGUAAAGAAUGUGGGAGAGUGUUUAGUUGUCUUUCAUCCCUUCAGACCCACGUGUGCUCUCACGCUGGCAAGAAACCCUGUGCGUAGGAAAGCUUCUGGUCAUCAUCCGUCCUUUAUGACACACAUGCGAAUCCACACCGGAGAGAAAUCCUAUGAGUUUAACCAGCAUAGGAGAGGAUACACAAUUGGGAGAAGCUGUAUAAAUGCAAGGAUUGUGGAAAGACUUCAUCAGGAGCAGGAACCUGACCGUGCAUAAGAGAGUGCACACCAGGGAGGGACUCUGUGUGUGAUGACUGUCGCAAAGCCUUAAGCAGGAAAUUCCAUCUGAUGGCACACAUGAGAACCCAUAACAGGGAGAAGCUUUACCAUUGCAGUAACCAUGGAAAAGCCUUCAAUAGGAUCCUUAACCUGACUGAUGACAAGAGGGUACAUACGAGGAAGAUUGACCAGUGCAGCUACUGUAGUAACUUGAGUAGUCACCCACCCCGGAGGAAACAUGUGAGUACUCACGGUGGAGAGAAGCCCUGGGAUUGGAAGCACAUGGGAAAGCCCCGUCGGUCUCACAUGUGAGCAACUCUGUGCAUAUCAUUCGUCUGAGAAAGCCUUCCACGGGGACUUCAGUUCCUGCACAAAGAAAUACAGAGUGGCAGAGAAACCUUACGAGUGUUAUAAAUAUAGAAUUGCUUUCAGCAGGGUCUUCUCCUCAAAAUGGAAAUCUAAUUCCUUAGUAUUCAGAUCAUGUUUGUGAAUAAAAUCACCCAUAGAGAUCCCCUGCACAUCCCUUUAGCUACAUUACAUGGGUUUCGACCUAAGGUAUUUUUUAUUUUGGUUUAAUUCGAAAUACUGUUUCUGUUCGAUGUAUUUUAACUCAACAAUGUCACUUUCUUUUGAGCCUAUCAAAAUACAACUUCAUUUAAAUUUCA